rnacentral:rRNA from 1 species
ACAGGGAUUGCCCUAGUAACGGCGAGUGAAGCGGCAACAGCUCAAAUUUGAAAUCUGGCUCUUUCAGGGUCCGAGUUGUAAUUUGCAGAGGGCGCUUUGGCUUUGGCAGCGGUCCAAGUUCCUUGGAACAGGACGUCACAGAGGGUGAGAAUCCCGUACGUGGUCGCUAGCUAUUGCCGUGUAAAGCCCCUUCGACGAGUCGAGUUGUUUGGGAAUGCAGCUCUAAAUGGGAGGUAAAUUUCUUCUAAAGCUAAAUACUGGCCAGAGACCGAUAGCGCACAAGUAGAGUGAUCGAAAGAUGAAAAGCACUUUGGAAAGAGAGUCAAACAGCACGUGAAAUUGUUGAAAGGGAAGCGCUUGCAGCCAGACUUGCUUGCAGUUGCUCAUCCGGGCUUUUGCCCGGUGCACUCUUCUGCAGGCAGGCCAGCAUCAGUUUGGGCGGUGGGAUAAAGGUCUCUGUCACGUACCUCUCUUCGGGGAGGCCUUAUAGGGGAGGCGACAUACCACCAGCCUGGACUGAGGUCCGCGCAUUUGCUAGGAUGCUGGCGUAAUGGCUGUAAGCGGCCCGUCUUGAAACACGGACCAAGGAGUCUAACAUCUAUGCGAGUGUUUGGGUGUCAAGCCCGAACGCGUAAUGAAAGUGAACGGAGGUGGGAACCCGCAAGGGUGCACCAUCGACCGAUCCUGAUGUCUUCGGAAGGAUUUGAGUAAGAGCAUGGCUGUUGGGACCCGAAAGAUGGUGAACUAUGCUUGAAUAGGGUGAAGCCAGAGGAAACUCUGGUGGAGGCUCGCAGCGGUUCUGACGUGCAAAUCGAUCGUCAAAUUUGGGCAUAGGGGCGAAAGACUAAUCGA